rnacentral:rRNA from 1 species
CCUACGGGUGGCUGCAGUAGGGAAUCUUCCACAAUGGGCGAAAGCCUGAUGGAGCAACGCCGCGUGGGUGAAGAAGGUCUUCGGAUCGUAAAACUCUGUUGUUAGAGAAGAAAGUGCGUGAGAGUAACUGUUCCCGAUUCGACGGUAUCUAACCAGGAAGCCACGGCUAACUACGUGCCAGCAGCCGCGGUAAUACGGAGGUUGCAAGCGUUAACCGGAUUUACUGGGCGUAAAGGGCACGCCGGCUGUCUUUUAAGUCUGGUGUGAAAGCCUCGGGCUUACCGGGGGAAGUGCAUUGGAAACUGGCAGACUGGAGUGCAGAAGAGGAGAGUGGAAUUCCAGGUGUAGCAGUGAAAUGCGUAGAUGUAUGGAGGAACACCAGUGGCGAAGGCGGCUAUCUGG